AUACGUAGGGAGCGAGCGUUGUCCGGAAUUACUGGGCGUAAAGGGCGCGUAGGCGGCGCUUCAAGUCGUCUGUCAAAUGGGAGGGCUUAACCCUUUUACGCAGACGAAACUGGAGAGCUUGAGAAGCAGAGAGGCAAACAGAAUUCCUGGUGUAGCGGUGAAAUGCGUAGAUAUCAGGAAGAAUACCAGUGGCGAAGGCGGUUUGCUGGCUGCAUACUGACGCUGAAGCGCGAAAGCCAGGGGAGCAAACGGGAUUAGAUACCCCGGUAGUCCUGGCAGUAAACGAUGUAUGCUGGGUGUGAGACUAGCGAUAGUUUCGUGCCGAAGUUAACGCGAUAAGCAUACCGCCUGGGGAGUACGGUCGCAAGAUUGAAACUCAAAUGAAUUGGCGGGG
rnacentral:rRNA from 1 species